rnacentral:rRNA from 1 species
ACAGCAGCAGCCGCGGUAAUACGAAGGGGGCUAGCGUUGUUCGGAUUUACUGGGCGUAAAGGGCGCGUAGGCGGGCGGAUAAGUCAGGGGUGAAAUCCCAAGGCUCAACCUUGGAACUGCCUUUGAUACUGUUUGUCUUGAGUUCGGGAGAGGUAAGUGGAACUGCGAGUGUAGAGGUGAAAUUCGUAGAUAUUCGCAAGAACACCAGUGGCGAAGGCGGCUUACUGGCUCGAAACUGACGCUGAGGCGCGAAAGCGUGGGGAGCAAACAGGAUUAGAUACCCGCGUAGUCCCUGUCUCUUAUAC